rnacentral:rRNA from 2 species
AAUUCCGCGAAUCAUCGAGUCUUUGAACGCAAGUUGCGCCCGGGGCUCGACCCAGGGCAUUUCUGCCAGAGCGUCACC